rnacentral:lncRNA from 1 species
ACGAUCCACAUCUACGGUCUAGCGGCCUUGCUGCUGUCUCUCCAUCUCAUAUGCUCCGCACCUACUGCGCAAUGUAUGCACUUCCACAAAGCUAAUUCAUCUAAUGCGCGAUGUAGUUAUCAGUUCUUUCUCAUCUUUCAUUGUCUAACGUUGCUUAUGGUUGUAUGCAUCAAUUGAUGCAGAGGUCAGGGGUUUUAACCUCUUUUUCGAAAGAAAAAAAUGUCUAAUAUUGCUUGUUUGUUAAUCAGUCCAAUCAAUGGCUAAUUUAUCUAUUGUUCCAUAUAUAGGUCGGAUGAUGGGCGAAGAAGACGUGGAUGACGAGAAGAUCAGUUUACCGUAUGGGCUUUGUGUCAACAACAAACGAUGCAAAUAUGGAUGGAUUUGCUUGUGUUGUCUCACGAAUCUCGAGUGCUACCCGUCCAUGGAUGCGUGCAAGAUAGAUUGUCAGAAACCCUCUGCUGCUAACAUGGUGUCCAUGGCAAUGACCCCUUCUCCUUUACCUGCCCCCUCUCCCGCCUCUUCAUUAGGUUCAACUUGAAUUACAUAUUUAUUUAUUUUUGCCAGGGACUUAAUGGAUAUUGUGUGAAAAAAUAAUUUGGAAUAGAAGUAUCUCAUACAUUAGCUGUUGCAGUUUGAUUUGGCAUGUUGCACCAAUUACUAUUGCCCCACGAGGAUACCUGGUCAUUUUUUGUUGGUUUUACACUAGCAGUAUGGUG